GAGAACUGGAGUUGGAAAGAAAAAGGAAAUGAAGUCAAGUCUAUUCCUGGUCCUUUCUAUAGAAGAUCAACCUUGCUCUUAAGACAAAGCAACAUCCUUGGAAACCCUGGCAAUGUACUAUUCUCUGUGUUGUGGUUUCUAAAAGGACGCUGUCACCAAAGGCACACAUAAUGGAGUCCCCGGGAAGCUGCACUGAGCACCCAGAGCCGGGUGGUCCAAAGAAAUGCCUUUUCAGCACCUCUGAAAUGAAUGACGCCCCAUGAAGGAGAAUGGCAAUGAAGAGAAUCUACAGACACCCCGUAUUGGUUAUUGGACCUGUCCUUCAGUGUGUAUACAGUGCCACCCUGGCACCCCUCGCAGCCUGCACAGGCACUCUCACAGCCCCCGCCACGCCACAUCCUCCUACUCCUACUCCCUGGGAGUAUCACACUGCCAAGAUGACUCCCCUCUGGCAUCGCUCGAAUUCACUACUGGGCUAAAAGAAUGCCUGGAUUCUCCUUCCUCACCACGGAUUGCACGACCAGAUGUCCCAGCUGUUAUCAGAGCUUUCAUAAGGUCUGGAGUUCAGCAGGAAAGUCCAGGUGAAAUAGGCUUGUCUUGCCACGUAUCCCUGUCAACGCUAUUGUUCUUUUUGUCCCUCUCAGUUUAGUAGCUGGACCAGUUUCCAUCUGCACACCAUUGUUCCGGUGGCCCCCUCUCCUGGAACACACUCCCCACCUUCUCUGCACCCUUGGGGCACAGUUCAGCCCCAUGCUUUCCACAAAGCCUGGUCUGGUCCCACGAUCCUUCUCAGGACUUCUCUUUUGUUCCCUGCCAUCGUCCUCUGGAUGCUCCAUCUAACCCUUGCUUAUAUGCUGUGACUUACUGUUCUCUGUAUCAAAGGAAUAGUGUAGCAGGCUCUGUAACUAUUUCACAAGGGCGCGAGGACACGACUACUUUACAGCCCCUUAGCAUCCAAUCAGAAGCUUGACUACUUUACAGCCCCUUAGCAUCCAAUCAGAAGCUUGACUACAGCCCCUUAGCAUCCAAUCAGAAGCUCGUCUCCUCCAUACUCAUUAAAAGGGCUACAAUAAGAAACAAAACAAAACAACCAGAAAAUGACAAGUGUUGGUGAGGAUAGGGAGAAACUGGAACCGCUGGGCACCAUAGGUGAGAAUGUAAAAUGGUACAGCCGCUAGGGAAAGCAGUAUGGCCGUUUCUCAAAUAAUUGAAAAUGGAAAUACCAUAUAAUUCAACAAUUCCACUUCUGGGUAAAUACCCAAAAGAAUAGAAAGCAAGGAUUUGAAGAGAUAUUUGCACACCCAUG
rnacentral:lncRNA from 1 species